rnacentral:rRNA from 1 species
AACGAACGCUGGCGGCAGGCCUAACACAUGCAAGUCGAACGCCCUAGCAAUAGGGAGUGGCAGACGGGUGAGUAACACGUGGGAACGUGCCCUUCGGUUCGGAAUAACUCAGGGAAACUUGAGCUAAUACCGGAUAAGUGCGAGAGCAGAAAGAUUUAUCGCCGAAGGAUCGGCCCGCGUCCGAUUGGCUAGUUGGUGGGGUAAUGGCUCACCAAGGCGACGAUCGGUAGCUGGUCUGAGAGGAUGACCAGCCACACUGGGACUGAGACACGGCCCAGACUCCUACGGGAGGCAGCAGUGGGGAAUAUUGGACAAUGGGCGCAAGCCUGAUCCAGCCAUGCCGCGUGAGUGAUGAAGGCCCUAGGGUUGUAAAGCUCUUUCGCCAGGGACGAUAAUGACGGUACCUGGAUAAGAAGCCCCGGCUAACUUCGUGCCAGCAGCCGCCGUAA